GAUGAACGCUAGCGGCAGGCCUAACACAUGCAAGUCGAGGGGUAGAACACUUCGGUGUUUGAGACCGGCGCACGGGUGCGUAACGCGUAUGCAAUCUACCUUGUACAGGGGAAUAGCCCAGAGAAAUUUGGAUUAAUGCCCCAUAGUAUAUAACCUUCGCAUGUUGGUUAUAUUAAAGUUCCAACGGUACAAGAUGAGCAUGCGUCCCAUUAGUUAGUUGGUAAGGUAACGGCUUACCAAGACGAUGAUGGGUAGGGGUCCUGAGAGGGAGCUCCCCCACACUGGUACUGAGACACGGACCAGACUCCUGCGGGAGGCAGCAGUGAGGAAUAUUGGUCAAUGGGCGCAAGCCUGAACCAGCCAUGCCGCGUGCAGGAAGACGGUCCUAUGGAUUGUAAACUGCUUUUAUACAGGAAGAAACCCUCCCACGUGUGGGAGAUUGACGGUACUGUAGGAAUAAGGAUCGGCUAACUCCGUGCCAGCAGCCGCCGCCGUAA
rnacentral:rRNA from 1 species